rnacentral:rRNA from 1 species
AGAAAUAACAAUACAGGGCUAAUGUCUUGUAAUUGGAAUGAUGGUGACCCAAACCCUCACCAGAGUAGCAAUUGGAGGGCAAGUCUGGUGCCAGCAGCCGCGGUAAUUCCAGCUCCAAUAGCGUAUAUUAAACUUGUUGCAGUUAAAAGGCUCGUAGUUGAAUUUUAGCGUGUUCGAGUUUGCCAUUCGUUUGGCUUUUUCGAGUUCGCUUUUGGGUUUUCCCUUUUUACUUUGAGAAAAUUAGAGUGUUUCAAGCAGACUUUUGUCUUGAAUACUUCAGCAUGGAAUAA